UACAGAGGGUGCAAGCGUUAAUCGGAUUUACUGGGCGUAAAGGGCGCGUAGGUGGUAAAGCAAGUAAGAUGUGAAAUCCCUGGGCUUAACCUAGGAAGUGCAUCUUAAACUGCUUAACUAGAGUAUGGUAGAGGGUAGUGGAAUUUCCGGUGUAGCGGUGAAAUGCGUAGAGAUCGGAAGGAACGCCAGUGGUGAAGACGACUACCUGGACCAAUACUGACACUGAGGCGCGAAAGCGUGGGGAUCAAACAGG
rnacentral:rRNA from 1 species